rnacentral:lncRNA from 1 species
AACAAAGUAUGAUUAUCUGGGAUGAAUUAGGAGGGGAUUUAGGCAAGAGAAACUACACUUUUAUAACAUGAGAAUUAUUAUGAAUGGUUGGAAAGUUUUUUGGUUGUGGUUCUCUCCUGUUACUCUGACUUCCUCCACAAAUAUAAUCUGACCGUCAUGAUAUAGGUGUGCAUAUCAUAUAUUUAUUGCUAAAUCCUCAAUUUACAGGGGUUA